rnacentral:rRNA from 1 species
CGGACGGGUGAGUAAUGCUUGGGAAUCUGGCUUAUGGAGGGGGAUAACUACGGGAAACUGUAGCUAAUACCGCGUAGUAUCGAGAGAUGAAAGGGUGGGACCUUUGGGCCACCUGCCAUAAGAUGAGCCCAAGUGGGAUUAGGUAGUUGGUGGGGUAAAGGCCUACCAAGCCGACGAUCUCUAGCUGGUCUGAGAGGAUGACCAGCCACACUGGAACUGAGACACGGUCCAGACUCCUACGGGAGGCAGCAGUGGGGAAUAUUGCACAAUGGGGGGAACCCUGAUGCAGCCAUGCCGCGUGAAUGAAGAAGGCCUUCGGGUUGUAAAGUUCUUUCGGUGAUGAGGAAGGGUGAUGUUUUAAUAGAACAUUACAUUGACGUUAGUCACAGAAGAAGCACCGGCUAACUCCGUGCCAGCAGCCGCGGUAAUACGGAGGGUGCGAGCGUUAAUCGGAAUGACUGGGCGUAAAGGGCACGCAGGCGGUGACUUAAGUGAGAUGUGAAAGCCCCGGGCUUAACCUGNGGAUUGCAUUUCAUACUGGGUCGCUAGAGUAUUUUAGGGAGGGGUAGAAUUCCACGUGUUACGGUGAAAUGCGUAUAGAU